rnacentral:lncRNA from 1 species
GAAGAAGAGUUUUGAUAAGAGAGAUCUAUGCAAAUUUGUAGGAAGAAGUUCAUUGGGAUUUUUAAGGUGGUGUGAUUCAAGACCAAUUUGAGGCUUUGUGUGUCAUUUCUCGUAUUUUUUUCUUUUUGAUAUGAGAUUUGGAUGGAAAUUGAAUCUUCUUAUUAACUUUUUAAUUAGUCCUAGAAUAUAAGAAAUAGAAUUGUGAUUGAAGAGAUCCAAGUAAAUUUGUAGAAGAAAAAUUUCUAGAAUUUUUAAACAAUGGAAUUUAAGCUUGAUUUGGGAUUUUUUAUGCCAUUUAAUGGAUUUUUAUUUUUUUUAUUCUGAAAUUUUGAAAGAUAUUAGAUCUCAUUAUUAUCUUUUCCAUAAGUCUUGACAUGUAAGAAGAAGAGCUAUGAUAAGAAAGAUUCA